CCUACGGGUGGCAGCAGUGAGGAAUAUUGGUCAAUGGGCGCGAGCCUGAACCAGCCAAGUAGCGUGAAGGAUGACUGCCCUACGGGUUGUAAACUUCUUUUAUAAAGGAAUAAAGUGAGGCACGUGUGCCUUUUUGUAUGUACUUUAUGAAUAAGGAUCGGCUAACUCCGUGCCAGCAGCCGCGGUAAUACGGAGGAUCCGGGCGUUAUCCGGUGUUAUUGGGGUUAAAGGGAGCGUAGAUGGGUUGUUAAGUCAGUUGUGGAAGUUUGCGGCUCAACCGGAAAAUUGCAAUUGAUACUGGCAGCCUUGAGUACAGUUGAGGUAGGCGGAAUUCGUGGUGUAGCGGUGAAAUGCUUAGAUAUCACGAAGAACUCCGAUUGCGAAGGCAGCUUACUAAACUGCCACUGACAUUGAUGCUCGAAAGUGUGGGUAUCAAACAGGAUUAGAUACCCGGGUAGUC
rnacentral:rRNA from 1 species